UUUUUUUUUGAUUUUUUUGG
rnacentral:sRNA from 1 species